CAGGGGGACAGAUGGGGGUAGUGACAGUGACAGUUGCGUCUCGUCGCUACGGUUCUCUCUCUCUGUGUUCCUGAGAAAGUGUGUGUGAGCUCCAGCACUACUGAUCCAUCAUCUGUGUGUCAGGGUAAACCUCCGAAUGGACUCUGUGCUCUUUUUUCUGCAGCGUUUACUUCGGACUAUAGGAGCUAGCUUAGCAUGCUAGCUGGAAACACGUUCGCAACACUAGUCAGAUUGAGAGUUUGAUGGAGAGAAACAGUGUGUGUAACGGAGUUUGAAAAAACUAUAGCAGAGCACGAGGAGGAGCGGUCUCGUUCAAAAGAGGAGAACGAGAGACUCCAGAAACCACUGGACGCUGUUUUACAGCCUCAGCUUCGGAUACACAGAGCAGCAGCAACAGGAGGAACUCAGGAUCAGUCAGGAGGGAAAGCAGCUUCAAGAGCUGGAGGAGGCUGAUAUCACCAAGUCCACUUUCAGUCUUGACCCUGUGAAGAUAAUAAAGAGAAACCUCAGUCCUCACAGCCUCAUCAAAGACAAACUGAACACAUGGAAACAGAAGCUGAUGGAGAUGACUGUCGAGGACCAGAACCAGCCAGGAACUCAGAUCCAGAGAGCAGUUUACAACCAAAGACUGAGGACGACCCUGAAGACUCUUCUGAACCUGACACUGAACACAGUGCUGAUUGGAAGGAGACCAGAGAACCUGCGUCAGGCUCAAACUCACUGGAAAAUAGACAAGAAUCUGUCAGUGAUUCAAGCCGUAGUGCUGUAAAGAAACAAUUUGGCUGCUCUGUGUGUAUGAAAUAUUUUACAAAUACAAGAGAAGUUCAGCGACACAUGAAAAUCCACACAGAUGAGAAACCAUUUAGCUGCUCAGUUUGUACCAAAUCUUUUGCAUUGAGUGAAAGUUUAAAAAAACACAUGAAAAUCCACACAGGAGAGAAACCCUUUAGCUGCUCAGUUUGUACCAAAUCUUUUGUAUUGAGUGAACGUUUAAAAAAACACAUGAAAAUCCACACCGGAGAGAAACCAUUCAGCUGCUCAGUCUGUAAGAAAUCUUUUGCAGAGAAAAGAGAUGUAAAUCGACACAUGAGAGUCCACACAGGAGAGAAACCACACAGCUGCUCAGUCUGCAGGAAAGCUUUUUCACAGAGAGGAAGUUUAAAGACACACAUGAGAGUCCACACAGGAGUGAAACCACACAGCUGCUCAGUCUGUAAGAAAGCUUUUUCACAGAGUAGAAGUUUAAAAAAACACAUGAGAGUCCACACAGAACAAAAAAUGUAAAUGGCGUAGUGAUUUCAGAAGACACAAGUGUGUUGGUCGUCAGUCCUCAAAGCUUAAUGAAAUUCAAACUGAGGAUAACAGAGAGGCAGAGCCUCCAAUCAGCAGCUCAGCUGGAAACACAUGGAAACAGAAGCUGAUGGAGAGGACAAUAAAUAAGUCUUAUAACAGUUCACACGUGAGAAAAAUCUGCCUGACCGGAUUAACAUUGUUGUACAAUAUUCAUAUAAGACUCAAAUGAACUCCAUCUUUAUCAAUAUAAGUGGAUGUCCAAUAUGUUUAUGCUUUGCUUGAUUAAAUCUACUGAAAUGAGCA